rnacentral:rRNA from 1 species
GGGUCUAAUACCGAAUAGGACCGCAUGCUGCAUGGUGUGUGGUGGAAAGCUUUUGCGGUGUGGGAUGGGCCCGCGGCCUAUCAGCUUGUUGGUGGGGUAAUGGCCUACCAAGGCGACGACGGGUAGCCGGCCUGAGAGGGUGUCCGGCCACACUGGGACUGAGAUACGGCCCAGACUCCUACGGGAGGCAGCAGUGGGGAAUAUUGCACAAUGGGCGCAAGCCUGAUGCAGCGACGCCGCGUGGGGGAUGACGGCCUUCGGGUUGUAAACCUCUUUCAGUAUCGGCGAAGCUCCAAGGUUUUCUUUGGGGUGACGGUAGGUACAGAAGAAGCACCGGCCAACUACG